GGAAGAGGACGGACCUAAGAUGGCGGCCUCCAGGGGGCUGGGAAUAGCCGCUCAUGUCGGCUAACGGAGCGGUGUGGGGCCGCGUGCGAAGCCGCCUCCGCGCCUUCCCCGAGCGGCUGGCCGCCUGCGGGGCCGAGGCCAAGAAGACGCUGGAGGGAGGCUGUUAGGAGGGACUCUGAGCUUCACACCUGUCUGCUGCCAUGGGUGCAGAGCCCUAGUCCUGAUGGCCCCUGGUGGCACAUAUCGAAUGCCUAGGGCAGAAAGGAAGUGGGAAUGGCGAAGAUGUGACAUUCCUCGGUGUUAGAUCCUGUUUUUUCUUAACAAGUUGAGGCGUGGGUAGAGCAGGAAUUGGUUUUCCAGCAUUGUGUCCGUAAACCUGAGUUAGAAUAAGAUGUAACGGAAGCCACGAUAAAGACUCGGUCAAAUCCUGCAGCCUGGGGCUUACUGUG
rnacentral:lncRNA from 1 species